rnacentral:tRNA from 1 species
GCCCAGAUGGCGGAAUUGGUAGACGCACUAGUUUCAGGUACUAGCGCUUCACGGCGUGGAGGUUCGAGUCCUCUUCUGGGCACCA